GACGAACGCUGGCGGCGUGCCUAAUACAUGCAAGUAGGACGCAGGUGCGAACGGGUGAGUAACGCGUAGGUAACUACCUAUUAGAGGGGGAUGACUAUUGGAAACGAUAGCUAAUACCGCAUACUAGUCUGUGGACCUUCGUUGUAUUAGCUAGUAGGUAGGGUAAUGGCCUACCUAGGCAACGAUAAAUAGCCGACCUGAGAGGGUGAGCGGCCACACUGGGACGGAGACACGGCCCAGACUCCUACGGGAGGCAGCAGGAGGGAAUCUGCGGCAAUGGGGGGAACCCUGACCGAGCAACGCCGCGUGAGUGAAGAAGGUUUUCGGAUCGUAAAGCUCUGUUGUUAAGGAAGCGGUACUUAACCAGAAAGGGACGGCUAACUACGUGCCAGCAGCCGCGGUAAUUC
rnacentral:rRNA from 1 species